AGCCAGGAGGUGACCUGCUGGCGCCCCCUGCAGGUCGGUCACAGCAGCGCGCCCUGCUCCUUCAAUCCCUCUGAUGACGCCCUAAACUCUGGCUGAAAAGUCCCACUCUCUGAGCUUCCUCCUACGUCCCCUAAAGAUGACUGGCACAGCUUCCCACAAUAAUCACCUCACUGGUGCUGGGAAGAAAGAAGCGGAGCCGUCCAGUGUGGUGCGUGGACCCCCGCAGCCGAAUCACCUUGGAUGCAUCCUACUGACUCAGCCUCUCUGGGAGUGAGACCCCAACACUCUACAUUCUUAACACGCGAUCCAGUUCUGCUAAUGGGCCCAUCCUCUACCAACUCCCCUGUCACCAGUCUGGGGAUGAGACGCGCAGUCCUUCAGAAUCGGUUGCAGAGGAAAUAGAAAUGGCUGUAAUACGAGACAUCUGAUAGUUCCCCAGGGGACUCGUGAUGGGCACAGUUUAGCCCCAGGGUGCUGAGUGGAGUCUGGUGAAGGGGAAGACUGCACUGUACCUCAGACCUUCUCGCCUAGAACCGCUGAGCUGCCGGACAGAAAAGAACAGAGAAAGACCUUCUUGCACAAUAAUGCCUGGCGCGGGUGCUUAUAGAGAAUUCUUUAGCGAUGCGGAGACUCAGAGAAAGGUGGUGGAAACAGCUUUCUCCACGACACGCUCUUCCCUCUGUUGGCCAACGUCAUCUAACCCUUACCCCCCGUUCCCCGACGGGGCUAACCAACAGCAAGAAGCGAACCCCACUUGCAAGAUCUUGUGCCAGCCAGCCAGAUUGCAACCCUUAAACCAUGCCAUUCCUACCUCCUCCCCAGCGAGAGUAUGAGAGGACAAGCUGCGGCAGGCUGGGAGCCGUCAGAAGUUGUUAAUUAGACACAACGUGUCGUCAUUUGCUCCUUUAACAAUCCCAUGUCUGAGAGAGUGAAGUGAGACACCAAAUAAAAGACUGAAAUAAAGCCUCACCUCACCAUCCAUCCAAAAACAAGAGAGAGGGUGAUUUUUUUAUG